CGCGUAGGCGGGUGCUCAAGUCCGGGGUGAAAUCCUCCAGCUCAACUGGAGAACUGCCUCGGAUACUGGGUGCCUCGAGGGUGGUAGGGGUAUGCGGAACUAUCGGUGGAGCGGUGAAAUGCGUUGAUAUCGAUAGGAACUCCGGUGGCGAAGGCGGCAUACUGGACCACUUCUGACGCUGAGGCGCGAAAGCCAGGGAGCAAACG
rnacentral:rRNA from 1 species